AUUGAACGCUGGCGGCAGGCCUAACACAUGCAAGUCGGGCGGAUGAAGGGAGCUUGCUCCUGGAUUCAGCGGCGGACGGGUGAGUAAUGCCUAGGAAUCUGCCUGGUAGUGGGGGAUAACGUCCGGAAACGGGCGCUAAUACCGCAUACGUCCUGAGGGAGAAAGUGGGGGAUCUUCGGACAUCACGCUAUCAGAUGAGCCUAGGUCGGAUUCGCUAGUUGGUGGGGUAAAGGCCUACCACGGCGACGAUCCGUAACUGGUCUGAGCGGAUGAUCAGUCACACUGGAACUGAAACGCGGUCCAGACUCCUACGGGAGGCAGCAGUGGGGAAUAUUGGACAAUGGGCGAAAGCCUGAUCCAGCCAUGCCGCGUGUGUGAAGAAGGUCUUCGGAUUGGAAAGCACUUUAAGUUGGGAGGAAGGGCAGUAAGUUAAUACCUUGCUGUUUUGACGUUACCAACAGAAUAAGCACCGGCUAACUUCGUG
rnacentral:rRNA from 1 species